rnacentral:rRNA from 1 species
AACGAACGCUGGCGGCAUGCCUAACACAUGCAAGUCGAACGAGACCUUCGGGUCUAGUGGCGCACGGGUGCGUAACGCGUGGGAAUCUGCCCUUGGGUUCGGAAUAACAGUUAGAAAUGACUGCUAAUACCGGAUGAUGACUUCGGUCCAAAGAUUUAUCGCCCAGGGAUGAGCCCGCGUAGGAUUAGCUUGUUGGUGAGGUAAAAGCUCACCAAGGCGACGAUGCUUAGCUGGUCUGAGUGGUUGAUCAGCCACACUGGGACUGAGACACGGCCCGUCCUCCCACGUGAGGCAUUAGCGGGGAUUAUUGGACGAUGGCCCAAAGCCUGAUCCAGCUAUCCCGCGUGAGUGAUGAAGGUCUUAGGGUUGUAAAGCUCUUUUCCCCGGGAUGAUAAUGACAGUACCGGGGGAAUAAGCCCCGACUAACUCCGUGCCAGACGCCGCUGUAUCAC